rnacentral:lncRNA from 1 species
AUUCUGAGGAAGUCCUAUAGCCUGUGUUAUAGAUGAUCAGUGGUUCCUUCUGGCCUUGGAAUCAUGAAAAUGAGGGUCAUAUAACUGUUGAAACAUGCCUGCAUUAAUUAAGGAGUUUUGCAUGUGACUGAGGGCAUCUGGCCCUAACUAUGUUAAAUAGCAUGAAGCGUGUGAUUUAAACCUACAAAAUUCAAGAAAUUCAGCUAAGGAUGCUGCCCACUCAUACACGAUUCAGAUUCAGUAGGAGGCAGGAUGCUCUUUACUCUUCAGCAACCAGUCUGGAGAACAGAGAAGGAAGACAGCAGCAGUAUAUGAACUUGGGGACUUUGCAUCUGCUGCUUGGACUACACGUGAGGUGCUAUUGCCAGGAGAAUAGAGCUGAGAUCUGCUGCUGA